CCGCGCUGGACCAUAUACAAGUCCUCUGGAAUGGGGUGUCAUAGAGGGUGAGAAUCCCGUCUUUGAUAUGGACUACCAGUGCUUUGUGGUGCGCUCUCGAA
rnacentral:rRNA from 1 species